UACAGAGGGUGCGAGCGUUAAUCGGAAUUACUGGGCGUAAAGCGUGCGUAGACGGUAGCGUAAGUCAGAUGUGAAAGCCCCGGGCUCAACCUGGGAAUUGCAUUUGAGACUGCUCUGCUCGGGUGCGGAAGAGGGAAGCGGAAUUUCCGGUGUAGCGGUGAAAUGCGUUGAGAUCGGAAGGAACGCCCGUGGCGAAAGCGAGGUCCUGGACGUUUUCUGACGCUGAGACGCGAAAGCCAGGGGAGCGAACGGG
rnacentral:rRNA from 1 species